AUUGAACGCUGGCGGCAUGCCUUACACAUGCAAGUCGAACGGCAGCACGGGAGCAAUCCUGGUGGCGAGUGGCGAACGGGUGAGUAAUAUAUCGGAACGNGCCCNGUCGUGGGGGAUAACGCAGCGMAAGCUGUGCUAAUACCNCAUACGAUCUCUGGAUGAAAGCGGGGGACCGCANGGCCUCGCGCGAUUGGAGCGGCCGAUAUCANAUUANCUAGUUGGUGGGGUAAAAGCCCACCAAGCCUGCGAUCUGUAGCUGGUCUGAGAGGACGAUCAGCCACACUGGGACUGAGACACGGCCCAGACUCCUACGGGAGGCAGCAGUGGGGAAUAUUGGACAAUGGGCGCAAGCCUGAUCCAGCAAUGCCGCGUGUGUGAAGAAGGCCCUCGGGUUGUAAAGCACUUUUAUCAGGAACGAAAUACCACSGNUUAAUACCCUAUGGGGCUGACGGUACCUGACGAAUAAGCACCGGCUAACUUCGUGCCAGCAGCCGCGGUAAUACGAAGGGUGCAAGCGUUAAUCGGAAUUACUGSGCGUAAAAGUUGCGUAGGCGGUUCGUUAAGUCUGUCGUGAAAUCCCCGNNCUCAACCUGGGAAUGGCGAUGGAUACUGGCGAGCUAGAGUGUGUCAGAGGAUGGUGGAAUUCCCGGNGNAGCGGUGAAAUGCGUAGAGAUCGGGAGGAACAUCAGUGGCGAANGCGGCCAUCUGGNACAACACUGACGCUGAAGCACGAAAGCGUGGGNAGCAAACAGGAUUAGAUACCCUGGUAGUCCACGCCCUAAACNAUGCGAACUGGAUGUUGGUCUCAACUCGNAGAUCANUGUCGAAGCUAACGCGUUAAGUUCGCCGCCUGGNGANUACGGUCGCANGA
rnacentral:rRNA from 1 species